rnacentral:rRNA from 1 species
UACGGAAGGCAGCAGGGGGAAUAUUGCACAAUGGGCGCAAGCCUGAUGCAGCCAUGCCGCGUGUAUGAAAAAGGCCUUCGGGUUGUAAAGUACUUUCAGUCGUGAGGAAGGUGUUAAGGUUAAUAACCUUAGCAAUUGACGUUAGCGACAGAAGAAGCACCGGCUAACUCCGUGCCAGCAGCCGCGGUAAUACGGAGGGUGCGAGCGUUAAUCGGAAUUACUGGGCGUAAAGGGCACGCAGGCGGUUAAUUAAGUUGGAUGUGAAAUCCCCGGGCUUAACCUGGGAAUGGCAUUCAAGACUGGUUAGCUAGAGUCUUGUAGAGGGGGUAGAAUUCCAUGUGUAGCGGUGAAAUGCGUAGAGAUGUGGAGGAAUACCGGUGGCGAAGGCGGCCCCUGGACAAAGACUGACGCUCAUGUGCGAAAGCGUGGGGAGCAAACGAGGAGUAGAUA